rnacentral:rRNA from 1 species
UAUCCUGUCUGAAUAUGGGGGGACCAUCCUCCAAGGCUAAAUACUCCUGACUGACCGAUAGUGAACCAGUACCGUGAGGGAAAGGCGAAAAGAACCCCGGCGAGGGGAGUGAAAAAGAACCUGAAACCGUGUACGUACAAGCAGUGGGAGCACAGGUUUACCUGUGUGACUGCGUACCUUUUGUAUAAUGGGUCAGCGACUUAUAUUCUGUAGCAAGGUUAACCGAAUAGGGGAGCCGGAGGGAAACCGAGUCUUAAUUGGGCGUUAAGUUGCAGGGUAUAGACCCGAAACCCGGUGAUCUAGCCAUGGGCAGGUUGAAGGUUGGGUAACACUAACUGGAGGACCGAACCGACUAAUGUUGAAAAAUUAGCGGAUGACCUGUGGCUGGGGGUGAAAGGCCAAUCAAACCGGGAGAUAGCUGGUUCUCCCCGAAAGCUAUUUAGGUAGCGCCUCGUGAAUUCAUCUCCGGGGGUAGAGCACUGUUUCGGCUAGGGGGCCAUCCCGGCUUACCAACCCGAUGCAAACUGCGAAUACCGGAGAAUGUUAUCACGGGAGACACACGGCGGGUGCUAACGUCCGUCGUGAAGAGGGAAACAACCCAGACCGCCAGCUAAGGUCCCAAAGUCAUGGUUAAGUGGGAAACGAUGUGGGAAGGCCCAGACAGCCAGGAUGUUGGCUUAGAAGCAGCCAUCAUUUAAAGAAAGCGUAAUAGCUCACUGGUCGAGUCGGCCUGCGCGGAAGAUGUAACGGGGCUAAACCAUGCACCGAAGCUGCGGCAGCGAACGUAUCACCCAAGACAACUUUACGGAGUUGACGAUUGACGGAGCGAAGCGACGUCAAAGCGUUCAUUAAAGUCGAGUUGGCUUAGGGAUACGUUCGUUGGGUAGGGGAGCGUUCUGUAAGCCUGUGAAGGUGUGUCGUGAGGC